rnacentral:rRNA from 1 species
GAUGAACGCUAGCGGCAGGCCUAACACAUGCAAGUCGAGGGGCAGCACGAAAAAGCUUGCUUUUUUGGUGGCGACCGGCGCACGGGUGCGUAACGCGUAUGCAACCUACCCUGUACUGGAGGAUAGCCCGAAGAAAUUCGGAUUAAUACUCCAUAAUAAACGAAGUGGCAUCACUUUGUUUUGAAAGCUCCGGCGGUAAAGGAUGGCCAUGCGCACGAUUAGCUAGUAGGUGAGGUAACGGCUCACCUAGGCUACGAUCGUUAGGGGGCCUGAGAGGGUUAUCCCCCACACUGGUACUGAGACACGGACCAGACUCCUACGGGAGGCAGCAGUGAGGAAUAUUGCGCAAUGGAGGCAACUCUGACGCAGCCAUGCCGCGUGCAGGAAGAAGGCGCUACGCGUUGUAAACUGCUUUUAACCGGGAAGAAACCCUCCGACGUGUCGGAGGUUGACGGUACCGGAGGAAUAAGCACCGGCUAACUUCGUGCCAGCAGCCGCGGU